rnacentral:rRNA from 1 species
UGGGGAAUUUUGCACAAUGGGGGAAACCCUGAUGCAGCGACGCCGCGUGAUUUAGAAGGCCUUCGGGUUGUAAAAAUCUUUUUUACGGGAUGAAAAUGACAGUACCGUAAGAAUAAGGUCCGGCGAAAUACGUGCCAGCAGCCGCGGUAAUACGUAUGGACCGAGCGUUGUCCGGAAUCAUUGGGCGUAAAGGGUACGUAGGCGGCCUAGUAAGUUAGAAGUGAAAUAAUAUAGCUCAACUAUAUAAAGCUUUUAAAACUGCUAGGCUUGAGAGAUGGAAGGGAAAGUGGAAUUCCUAGUGUAGCGGUGAAAUGCGCAGAUAUUAGGAAGAAUACCGGUGGCGAAGGCGACUUUCUGGUCAUCAUCUGACGCUGAGGUACGAAAGCGUGGGUAGCAAACAGG